GCAGGUGUUGCUGCUCUUCCCAGGACUGGUUUGGUCUCAGCAGUGGGUACAGUCCUUGGCUGCUGUCUGUCUGCCCCUAGCUAUGGCUGCAGUGACCCAUCAGUACGAGUGUUUCUCUGCUGGAAGCCAUUCGUUCUCAGCAAGGAGAUAUGGGGAGCAGUCAGGAAAGCUCAGCAGUGCCAAACGGGAUCUGAGUCCCUGCAAACAGUGACUGGAGGAGUGCAACACCUCUACCAGCCCAAAGCAGAGCCAUGGACACAUUCCUUUUCACAUUGUUGUCUUUACAUGGCUAUGGGUGCUUAAUUGCAUCAUAUUCCAGCUCUUGCAAAAUACCAUUUGAACAAAUGUCCUUGUUGUGAUCUGGCAAUUUAAAUUAUCCUGUCUGCAGAAGUUUGGUUCUGGGCGUUUUAGCAUUAACUCGUGCUGUCUGGAUGAGGUGUGACUGAGGUAGUCCAAGAGCUGAUUAAAGAGUUGUUAGUUGUUCUUUAAAAAAAAAUUCCACCACCAUUAAUGUUGUUGGUGUCUGCAAUAUCAGGAGUGUGCAUCAACAGCAGCUCAUACCUGGGGAGUGCUGCUGCUUUGCAUUCCUGUCUGGCAGAAGACCUCUCCUUUCCCUUUGUGAUGCACAUCUUACUUCUGCGAUGUUUGUUUAACUUCAGCUGUCACUGCUUACAUAAUGCCUCACUCUGCCUGCAGUUUUCAAGGUCAGAUUUGGGUUUUACUUGAACAAACAGCAAGUGCCCGCACAGGGAAUAGAGAGCUGCAGACAGAGUGUGUUCCUGAUGUAAUGCGGAUACCUCCGAAAUCUGACUGCUAAAAGGGGUUAUUGCAGCUGUCUCACAUGCUCUGGGAGGAUUGCUUUAGAGCUGGGCUUUUUGCUCAUGGAAAACAGGUUGAAAUCUGAAUUCCAAGAUGUAUUUUGUUGAGUUUUCUCCUUUGGUCAUUGUUUUACCUGCUCAUUGUCUCUAUGGACAGGGCAAUCUGUUUCCUUUAAAUACAGGGAAUU
ensembl:lncRNA